rnacentral:lncRNA from 1 species
CGCACCCCCACCCUCUCUGCAGCCCUCCCUCCCACUGUCACACAUUCCAGCACACCCGCCCCCCACAGCGCUCCCCCACCCCACCUUCUUCUCCCCCAACACCCUCGGCCUCGCACACAACACUGGCUGGCUCUUGUGUGCUUGCUCUCUCUGCUGCCCGGUCCUCCCCCACUUCCCAGCGCCUCCUCUGCCUGGGGAGGCGUCUCCCCCCACUUUGCCCCAGGCCUUUCAUUCCUGGACAGUGAGGCUGUACAUCUGGUUCAAAGCUGCCCCACCCAAGACCCUGUGCUCUGGGCACCCUGGCCUGGGCUUUGGGGGUUUGGGGCCUCUUUGGGGGCUCUUGGCACCUGGUCAUCCUGGUCUCUCAGCCAAGAACUCUGAGUGCCCAGCCCUGCCCUGGCUCUGGCGCAUCUGGGGAGGGGGCUGGGCAGGGGGAUUUACCCCCAGCCUGAGCUUUCUCAGGGGCUUGCCAGAUCCUCCUCCUCCUCCUCCUCUUCCUCCUCAGCUCACCUGAGGGGGACAUUGGACCUGGGGCUUCAGGGAGAAAGAUGAGGAAGGUGCUGGCUUGACAUGCUCCCCCCCCACCAUCCGGGCUUGGGGCUUGGUCUCCCUGGGAGUCAGUUCCGACAGUGAAGGUUACUUUACUAGAUGCAUGAUUUUAAACGGAAUCUCCACCAUCUGUUCCACCCCCUAAUUACAGAUGCACAGAAUCCGCCUCAGAGGGCAGCAUGAGGGGAGUGAUUUAGAGGCUGAGCGGCUUCUGCCUGCAUUAGGGCUGGGGAGACUGGGGGGGCCUCUGGGUAUUGCUCACAGCCCCCCAAUCCCAUCUCUUUCCCAGGGCCCCCCCCCCCGUGCCCCUUCUCUUGCUGGAGGAAGGCUCAUAGAAAGGUCCCCCUGACCCCCGAGGCCUGAAAGAGGAAGCAACUGCAACGAUGAGGGACGGGUUGCUGAGACACCGCCUGUGUCCCAGGCCCCAGGUCUUGGGAUGCAGGCUCCAUUAGAGCCUUAAAAAAUUCAGUGGAUCGAUCUCCUGCCUGCCUCUUGUGCUCUGGGGAGCCACAGGCACUGGCCUGGCCCAGCUGUCUGCCCACCCCAGGGGUAGCAAGGACUGGGGAGGGAGGGGAGGGGCGGUUGGAGCAGAGGUGGGAGCCUUCAGGUUUUGGCAGCAGAGGACGUGGGCAGAGCGCGCGCCAAGCUGCACCAGGUGUGUUUGCACGUAUGCGCCCAUCCGCCUUGGCGCUGCUGGCAAGCCUGACCCCAGCUGGGGCCGUGCUCUGUGGGGCUGGACCAGCACCAGGGGCAGAGGGGAUGGGCCAGGACCCAUCCCUUGGAGGGUUCUGAGGGACACUGGGCUACACCCGAGGAUGGGUCCGCCUUUCCCCGUGUUGCCAGGGCCCCGGGCCCCAGCCUGCUCCAGCAGCCGCGGGCACACUGCGGUAGAAGCUGGAGCAGUCACUGUGGGGAGAAAGGGAGCGAGGCUGGGCUGGAGGAAUUUUAAAGAUUGCUGCAGGCAGGAGGGUCUCGGGAACCCUGUGGAGCGGGCAGUCACGCAGAAGUAAUCCUAUCGCCGCUGCCGCCUGCCUGGAGGAGUGAGGGGAGAGGGGGCCGGGAGGGGAGGGAGGGCUGCAGCCCCGUUCCCACCUCAGCUCCGGCCCCAGCCAGCUGUGGAGGCAAUCGGGACCCCGGCGGGCUCCCCUGAGGUGGCACCACCAUUCCACUGUGGCAUGUGCCCCCUGGAGGGGCAGCGCCGCAGCUGUCGCCCAGCUCUCAGCUCUGGUUUUUAUAAAUAAUGCAGCUUGGAGGUGGGGGCCAACUCAGCCCCCGGUCACCUUGGGUCACCCAGUGUGGCAUCUGCAGCUGGCAGUCCUGUGGCAGAGCCCCUCUCCCUUCCAGCCUGCUCCUCUUCUUUGGCUGUGUGAGCUUGGGCCGGAGCCCCAGCCUCUCUGAGCUGGGCCAGGGGCAAAGGAGUGUGGAAGAAUCCAGAACCCCUGGUCCUUUUGUACCCCCCACCCCCAGCCUUCCCAGGUUAACCGGCCGCUGGCUCAGCAAAUCUGGGCUGGGAAGGGGUGGCCUGCUCUCCAGGGGCCUCCGCAUUCCAGCCCCUCCAUUUUGCAGAUGGAGCAACCGAGUCCGGAGAGGGUGGGAUGGCCAAGGCCAGCGAGCUGAUGAGCACCUCCUUCCUGCCCCACUCUGCUGUCACUCAAGGCUCUUCUCAGCCUCAGCUCAGCUAAGAGCAGGGCCUGGGGGGGCGCGGGGGAUGUUUGGGAAAGUGGUUGCGGCUGAGAGGUUGCCAUGGCAAUGCUGCAGGAUGCUGAGCUGAAGUGGGGGUCCUACAGGGUCUCUGGGGCCCCCAGCUCCACACCCCUGUGGUCUUCUCCUCCCCAUCGCCUGUCCCCCACCCAGAUGCCUGUCACACAGCUCCGGUGACAGGCUGGGUGGGUGACAGGUGGUGCAGGUGAUGGGCUGGGUGGGUGACGAGCUGGGUGGGUGACAGGUGGUGCGGGUGCGAGGCAGGCAGGUGACAAGCUGGGUGGUGACGGGCCCUGCUGAUGACAGGCAGGGGGUGUGGUUGGCGAGGAGGCUGUCUCCUGGCUGGUGGCCUGUUGCAGCCCCCCACCCUCAUGCAUGUGCACAUGCACAGACUCUGGGCCCAGAGCUUGGGGCUAAGAUACUAAUGAGGCUUGUUACGUGUGGAGGGGCAGGUGCCCGGGCUCACUAAUGAGAGGCCUUUAACGAAUCGGGGAGACAGCUGGGGGGCUUCCAGGAAUUUGGCUGGCCCUCCUGGGCUGGAGGAUGAGCCAGGUCGGGACCCUUCCUCCCCUUCCCCCACCCCGGUCACUUGGCUUUGUGUUAAUACUGCCCACGGUCAGGCUGGCUACCAUUGCCAGAGUGCUGGCUGCACUGGCCCAGCCCUUUACAUGCAUUUUUUCAUUUCGAUUCAACAGUGUAGGAGGGAGGCACUGUUGCCCAUUUUACAGAUGAGAAAUCUGAGGCCGAGAAGACAAGGGAAUUCACAUAGUAAGUUUCCGCUGCAAGUGGUAUUUUAAUCCAGGUCUUACUGUCUCCAGAGCCUGUGCUCUUCACCACCUACCAGUAAAACUCAGGCCUUGGUGCAGACCCAGCCCUCUCAGGGUCUCAGUUUCACUCUUCGGGAAAAUGGAUGCGUGGUAGAGGGGUAAUCACCAUAGGCUCUUCAGCUCUGACUUGGGUGGCUUCAGGGACUCCUCCAGGUAACUGCCGAGGCCUCACUCCAUCUGGUCCAGACUUUAGGUGACACCUUUGCACUGGAGAGAGGACAGGGCUUAGCGCUGAGGGCGCAUAGCUGAAAGGGGGGGGGGUAUCUGGGAUGUCUGAACCACUGCCUCCAUUGUGAGGUGGGGAGGCUGAGGCCUGGAGAGGAGCAGCCACUGCCCAAGGUCACAUGCCCUGGGCGCUGUAAGGCCCCGUGGGAUCCCAGGUCUCCUGGCCUGUUGGAAGGGUGGGGCUAGGUGUGGUGCCAGGGCUGGGAGGUCACCUCUUCUUGGGCUCCACCCACCAGCCUGGCUUCUUUCCUGGUGGUUGCGAGCCCCUACCUCCUGGGAGGGGGCGGGGGCGGGGGCCGGGGAGGCUGUUGAAUGCCUCCGUAGGGCCUUGCCCCUUCCCCAUCAAUCUAGGCCCCUAGUGUCUGUUGACCCCCCUCCUUUGGAGAUCUGUUGGGGUAGAAACUUUCCCUGGCAAUAGCUGAUGGAUGGAUUAGGGCCUUGACAUUGGCCCAGGGCCACAGCCUGACCCUAGAGGGACCAGGCUAGGGCUGGGGGGGCUUGGAGGGGAAUUUAAGGGAGAAGAAUUAAGCUCAUAAAUCUUGGAGCAUCUCAGUUCUCUUCUCCUUGACCUUAAUCUCUUACCAAACCUGCUCUCCAGCUGCACAUCCAAGGCUGGGGUUUGAGGGAGUCCACUUACCCAUUCCCCUCUCCCACCCACUGAUGCUCCUGCUCCUGGAAUUGCACCCCCUAUGGGGAAGGAAGUACAAGUUGCAGCCACUCUGUCGGGCAGAAUUAAGAACUUGUGUGUCCAGACGUUUGGAUUUGGCCUCUGAUUCAUAAUGGUAGGUAGGGCAGAGAGCUUCACUGCCUCAGUUUCCCUGGCCUUAGCUUUGAAAUUCUCUCCUGGUGCCUGACUGCUCAGGCAGGAAGGAGUGCUGAGACCAAGAGGGAUUUCACAGCUGUGGGACACGUGGUGCUGUCCUCAGAAGCCCCAUUCUGAGAUAAGAGGCACAGCUCUGGCCUUGGGAGCCCUCAGACCCAGAGGUGAGAUCUUGAACCCAGGCUGGGCAUGUGCUGAGGUUCAGGCAGGGAGCGGGCAGCUGGAGCCUGAGUUCUGGGACCCUCCUAGCUCCCCAGGGAACCCGCUGCUGCCUGGCCCUGGAGACCCAGGCGUCCUGGCGGGUGAGGGCGGGUCUCCGGCAGGCGCCCUGCCAAGCCCCGCAGCCUGCUCACCAGGAAUCUUGUUGCUGAGAGAUGGAAAAUCCCGGCCGGGCCUGCAGCUCAUCCCUCCCCUCCGGGAGGAGGAGGGGCCCAAAGAUUCCUUCCUGCACCCCCCUCGCAUCUGGGGCAGGGCCCUCCUCAGCAGUGGGUGGGGCUGGGGGGCCCAGGACAGGCCUCUAAGCCUCGGUCACAUGUCCUGGAGCUUAGCCCAGCCUGCAGUGGGCACCAGGGCACUCUGGAGGCAGAAUGGGCCUGGUGUGGCAGAGGAGAGGUGGGGGUGGGUGCUGAGGCCAGAAGGGGGCCUGGAUGGGGGCCUAGGCCUGGCCCUGGCCCCACUGGCUCCCCCAGGGCGGAGGGUGAAGAGUUGGUUCUCUCCUUGGACAGGAAGACGAAUGAUCCCAUUAUGGGAGCGUGAUUUUAUUCCACGUGUCACGGAGUCUGAGAUUAACUUGCUCACCAGUCUGUGACAAACCCCUACACUCUCACACCCAACACACAUGCACACACACACACACAGGCACAGAGACACACAUAUAUCCUUGGUCUCACAAAUGCAAACCCCACAGGCACACAUAAGCAUUUCCUUACUACAGCAUCCCAUACAGGUACACAAGCGCACAUUCACACUUAGAUACACCAAGAUCUAGACCCACAGCCUCAAACGCACAACAUUCUCUCACUCCCACUAAGGCCACACAGACCCAGAGAUACAAAUGGGCCAUCCAGGGGGAUGCCCGUGGCCCUACCUAGACAUGCGCAGAUCAAGGAUGCAGAGCACCCCCUCCCCACAGAUACACCUAGACACACACCACCCCAGACACAGUCAUGUGGGCAGGCCUAGACCAACAGCCACACACACUGAGACAAAGGCCCAGAUACAUACAGAGACAAAGACAGGCACAGACACACAGCCGGCAGCGCGCACACAAGCACAGGCGUGCACACCCGGACACAGACAAAGACAAAUAAAUGCCCAGAGGUUUUGCUGUGGACAGAUGUAAGGCACACACAUCUGGGCCUCCUUCUCGACCUCCCUGCCUGGGGACAUGGUAAUCUGGCGCCUGUGGCUCCAGGGAGAACUUGGAGGAAUCUUCUGCUCAGUCAGCGCCCCCCACCCUGGGCCUGGGGCCAGCCCCCACCUCUGGCACCGGGUCCGCGGCCGAGGCCAUGGCAGCCACACCCCCAGCAGAGCCCAGACAUCUCUUCCCUGGCUCUCCGUGUGGGACACACUCACGGGCACACCAUCUCCUCCUGCACAUGCUCAUGACCCCCCCCAUGCCCACACACUUAAGAGUUUCUCCCUCAGACCCACCCCCCAGGUGUCCCCUUCUGGUUGUUGUUCUCAGUCACUCCCCACCAGAGACACGCACGACCUCGAGCACAGACACACACAGCCUUGCUCGCUCUGCACCCCCGCAGCCUGCGUGGCACGCGCCCUCGCCUUCUCACACAGGCCCCACGAGCCACAGCCGUGCGCUCCUUCCACGCUUCCUCGCCAGUGCUCUCACCGCCGAGUUCACAGAUGCCGCGCACACAUACCCUCCCCCACGCACAUCCUCCCCGCUUUCUCACAUGCGUGCGCGCGCGCGCACACACACACUCUCAGAGCCUCCCUCACACCAUCACUUUCCUUCCUCUGUCUCUCACAAACACUCCCUCUGCCAAGAGUGUGGCUGUGCUGCAGCACAGCCCCGAAGUACUUGUCACUGUUCUCAUCAGGUCCUUGGCCUUCCUGGCCUCAGUCUCUUCCCUUUCACCUCCAGCCCUGCACACUGCGGCCCUGUAUUCUUUUGUCAUGUCUCUGUCUAGUCAGCAGUAAAGUACGGAGUGUUCAUUUAGUCAUUCAACAAAUGUUGAUUGAGCACUGAUGAUGGGUUAAGCAUUGGGGCUACGUCAGUGACACAGGUCCUUCCCUCAUAGAGCUCUCCAUUUUGUGACCGGUUUCUUUGUGGCUGAUCUUGUCUGACUAGAUUGUAAGGUAACCCUUGAUCUUGGAUGUUGAGAGAUGUGUAGACAGUCACAGGAGGAAAAAUAUGGGAAGGGUGUUCUCGGCCAAGGGAACAGCCCGUGCAAAGCCUAGAAGUGAAUCACAGUAUGGUAUGCCGGGAACUGAGGUGAUGUUCAGAGACUAGAGGAGAAGCUGCAAAGAGAGCAGAAAGCCAGAUGUUACAGAGUGUGGAUGCCAUGUUCAGAGGGCUGGAUUUUGUCUCAUGAGCCACAAGGAAUCAUGAAAAGUCUUUAGUGACAGGACAGGGUGGGGGCAUGAUGGUGUUCUGACCUAGAAGAGGUGAGCAGGAAGGAGAGAUCUGUUUAGGAGCAAGGACCACAGUUCCAGAGCUGUGACUUCAGCUCUGGGUGACACCUUCUAUGACCCAGGUCCAUCAUGUGAGGGCGGGACAGUCCAGGAGCCAGAGCUUAUAGUACAUGCUCAAUAAAUGAGAGUCAUUACUGUCAGUUAUCGGUGCGACGAGGCGGGACAUUGGCUGAAGAGGAAGUUUACUGAGCACCUACUGAGUGUGGGGUACUGUGCGGGCUCUGCAGCUUUGAGAAGCUCACACACCAAAACCCCAGCUUGCUUGGACAACAGUGGGCCACGUGGCAGGGGUGGAGGCAAAGCACCCUGGAAACUGAAAGGAGCGUGAGGAUUCUGGGUGGCACACAGAGGAGCUGGUAUUGAGCCGGACCCUGAAGAGGCUGGGCAGACUUGGGCGGGCAGAGGGGGAGAAGGAGCCACAUGAAAAAAAAAAAAAAGGGAGUUCCCAUUUUGGCUCAGCAGAAGUGAAUCUGACUAGCAUCCAUGAAGUCGAAGGUUCGAUCCCUGGCCUCGCUCAGUGGGUUAAGGAUCCAGUGUUGCUGUGAGCUGUCAUGUAUGUAGAUUGCAGACUCGGCUCGGAUCUGGUGUGGCUGUGGCUGUGGUGUAGGCCGGCAGCUGCAGCUCCGAUUCAACCCUUGGCCUUGGAACCUCCAUAUGCCGCUAAAAAAAAAAAAAGGAAGGAGCCACGUGAACAUCAGCCCAAGGGCAAGGUGUCUAACCCAGCUGCUGUGAGGGACAUAGGAAGGAGGGGCUUGGGAUGGGAUUGUGGAGGCAAGACCUCUGUGGCCAGGCUGAGGGGGGUCAGCAUGGGGCUGAGCUGCACUCUAGAAAUCCCACGUUUUGGUGGAUUAUGUUCAUUAGAAAUUGUGCUCCAGGAGUUCCCGUCGUGGCGCAGUGAUUAAUGAAUCCGACUAGGAACCAUGAGGUUGCGGGUUCGGUCCCUGCCCUUGCUCAGUGGGUUAACGAUCCGGCGUUGCCGUGAGCUGUGGUGUAGGUCGAAGAUACAGCUUGGAUCCCGCGUUGCUGUGGCUCUGGCGUAGGCUGGUGGCUACAGCUCCGAUUCGACCCCUAGCCUGGGAAGCUCCAUAUGCCGUGGGAGCGGCCCAAGAAAUGGCAAAAAGACAAAAAAAAAAAAGAAAAAGAAAAA